GAUGAACGCUGGCGGCGUGCCUAAUACAUGCAAGUCGAGCGAACGGACGAGAAGCUUGCUUCUCUGAUGUUAGCGGCGGACGGGUGAGUAACACGUGGAUAACCUACCUAUAAGACUGGGAUAACUUCGGGAAACCGGAGCUAAUACCGGAUAAUAUUUUGAACCGCAUGGUUCAAAAGUGAAAGACGGUCUUGCUGUCACUUAUAGAUGGAUCCGCGCUGCAUUAGCUAGUUGGUAAGGUAACGGCUUACCAAGGCAACGAUGCAUAGCCGACCUGAGAGGGUGAUCGGCCACACUGGAACUGAGACACGGUCCAGACUCCUACGGGAGGCAGCAGUAGGGAAUCUUCCGCAAUGGGCGAAAGCCUGGCGGAGCAACGCCGCGUGAGUGAUGAAGGUCUUCGGAUCGUAAAACUCUGUUAUUAGGGAAGAACAUAUGUGUAAGUAACUGUGCACAUCUGGACGGUACCUAAUCAGAAAGCCACGGCUAACUACGU
rnacentral:rRNA from 1 species